rnacentral:misc_RNA from 1 species
AAAAAACUCUCUAUUGCUAUAUAUUCCUUUAUUCAACAUGGUUAUUGCUUUAUGAUUUAGAGUUUAAUUUUACACUGACUGAAGAUUGCAGGUUUGUAUAGUGGAUUUGGAUGGUUGGCCUUUGGGAGACUAUUCGGGAUAGGAGCUCGAUUUGGAAUAUAUGAAAUUGUGACAGCAUUUUAUAAAGAUGGUCGUGAAGAUGAUUACGUGCAUGUGUCUG